GUGAGGAAUAUUGGACAAUGGGCGCAAGCCUGAUCCAGCCAUGCCGCGUGCAGGAAGACGCAUCUAUGGUGUGUAAACUGCUUUUGUACGGGAAGAAACACUCCCUCGUGAGGGAGCUUGACGGUACCGUAAGAAUAAGGAUCGGCUAACUCCGUGCCAGCAGCCGCGGUAAUACGGAGGAUCAAAGCGUUAUCCGGAAUCAUUGGGUUUAAAGUGUCCGUAGGCGGUUUAAUAAGUCAGUGGUGAAAGCCCAUCGCUCAACGAUGGAACGGCCAUUGAUACUGUUAGACUUGAAUUACAAGGAAGUAACUAGAAUAUGUAGUGUAGCGGUGAAAUGCUUAGAUAUUACAUGGAAUACCAAUUGCGAAGGCAGGUUACUACUUGUGGAUUGACGCUGAUGGACGAAAGCGUGGGGAGCGAACAGGAUUAGAUACCCGUGUAGUCC
rnacentral:rRNA from 1 species